CUGUUAGUCCAUGCUGUAAACGAUGAAUGCUAGUUGUCGGCAUGAUGUCGGUGACGAAGUUAACGCGAUAAGCAUUCCGCCUGGGGAGUACGUCGCAAGAUUAAAACUCAAAGGAAUUGACGGGGACCCGCACAAGCGGUGGAGCAUGUGGUUUAAUUCGAUGCAACGCGAAGAACCUUACCAACUCUUGACAUCCUUAUCGGGGAGCGAAGAGAUUUGUUCUUUCAGUUAGGCUGGAUAAGUGACAGAUGCUGCAUGGCUGUCGUCAGCUCGUGUCGUGAGAUGUUGGGUUAAGUCCCGCAACGAGCGCAACCCUUGCUACCAGUUGCCGUCACGUAAAGGUGGGCACUCUGGUGGGACUGCCGGUGACAAGCCGGAGGAAGGUGGGGAUGACGUCAAGUCAUCAUGGCUCUUACGAGUUGGGCUACACACGUGCUACAAUGGCAACUACAAAGAGGAUCGAGGCUGUGAGGCCAAGGCAAUCUUAAAAAGUUGUCUCAGUUCGGAUUGUUCUCUGCAACUCGAGAACAUGAAGUUGGAAUCGCUAGUAAUCGCGGAACAGCAUGCCGCGGUGAAUACGUUCCCGGGUCUUGUACACACCGCCCGUCACGCCAUGGGAGUUGGUUCUGCCUGACGGCGUUGAGGUAACCUAGCAAUAGGAGCCUGGCGACCACGGUAGGGUCAGCGACUGGGGCG
rnacentral:rRNA from 1 species